rnacentral:rRNA from 1 species
GAUGAACGCUGGCGGCGUGCCUAACACAUGCAAGUCGAGCGGACGGACGGGAAUCUUGCUUGUCUGAAGUUAGCGACGGAUGGGUGAGUCACAGGAAGAUAACCUGUAUAGGAGGCUGGCAUAACUACAGGAGACCUAAUACAACAUACGACGAUAUGUUGAAACGGAGGGAUCUUAGGACAUCGCGCGAUUAGAUGAGCCUUCGACGUAUUAGCUAGUUGCUGUGGUAAAGGCUUACCAAGACGACGUUCCAUAGCUGAUCUGAGAGGCUGACCGGCCACACUGGAACUGAGACACGGUCCAGACUCCUACGGGAGGCAGCAGUGGGGAAUCUUCGACAAUGGGCGAAAGCCUGACGCAGCAAUGCCGCGUGAGUGAUGAAGGUCUUCGGAUCGUAAAGCACUGUUAGUUGGGAAGAACAGAAGUGUGAGAAUACCUGGAUAUCUUGACGGUACCUAAACAAAAAGCCCCGGCUAACUACGUG